CAGCAGUCGCCGCGGUAAUACGGAGGGUGCAAGCGUUAAUCGGAAUUACUGGGCGUAAAGCGUGCGUAGGCGGUUCGUUAAGUCUGUUGUGAAAGCCCCGGGCUCAACCUGGGAAUGGCAAUGGAUACUGGCGAGCUAGAGUGUGUCAGAGGAUGGUGGAAUUCCCGGUGUAGCGGUGAAAUGCGUAGAGAUCGGGAGGAACAUCAGUGGCGAAGGCGGCCAUCUGGGACAACACUGACGCUGAGGCACGAAAGCGUGGGGAGCAAACAGGAUUAGAUACCCGGGUAGUCCCUGUCUCUUAUAC
rnacentral:rRNA from 1 species